rnacentral:lncRNA from 1 species
UUUUACACCAGGACUAAAUAAACACUCACUUACCCCUGGUACCUGCUAAUAUGUUAACAAGUAAUGUCCUCAAAGAGCCUCAUUACUUGAUUACAUCCGAGGCUGGGGACUCUGUGCUGUUGCUUUCUCCGCCUGCCGGGAUCUCACGAGCCCAGACACAUUAACUCACUUGAAUACUGAGAGAAAGUGGGAGCUUUAUCAGCCUCCAUUAUCAGCCCAGGAUAACAAAAUACAGCAUUGAAUACUGAGAGAAAGUGGGAGCUUUAUCAGCCUCCAUUAUCAACCCAGGAUAACAAAAUACAGCAUAGGGGCAUUUAUGAUCUCAUGGCUGAGGCAUUAUAACGCAAAUGUCUUAAUCCCUGCAGUUCUCAACACUGCUGUUGCCAUGUCUUUGGGUCAGUAACAUGGUGCAGGGUUAAUCAAGAAAGACAAAUACAGUAGAAACAAGGGAAGCUGGAAUCCCUGCAUCCCAUUCCUGCCUGCCCUUGUGACCAGUGUGCUCUUGGCCUGUGGAAGUCAUCCCCUCCUGCUGCAAUCUGUGCUACACACCCCUCUUCAGCACAGAUACCUAAGGGGAUCAUGGCUGAGGGUGCAUCUGUGACCCUUGUCCCUGUGUGCAGGUACCCAUCCCUGUGUGCAGGUACCCAUCCCUGUGUGCAGGUACCCAUCCCUGUGUGCAGGUACCCAUCCCUGUGUGCAGGUACCCAUCCCUGUCUGCAGGUACCCAUCUCUGAGUGCAGGCCCCCCCCCCCCCCCCCCCCCCCCCCCCCCCCCCCCCCCCCCCCCCCCCCCCCCCCCCCCCCCCCCCCCCCCCCCCCCCCCCCCCCCC